CCUACGGGAGGCAGCAGUGGGGAAUUUUGGACAAUGGGCGCAAGCCUGAUCCAGCCAUUCCGCGUGAGUGAAGAAGGCCUUCGGGUUGUAAAGCUCUUUCGGCAGGGAAGAAACGGUAUGGGUUAAUACCCUGUGCUAAUGACGGUACCUGAAGAAGAAGCACCGGCUAACUACGUGCCAGCAGCCGCGGUAAUACGUAGGGUGCGAGCGUUAAUCGGAAUUACUGGGCGUAAAGCGUGCGCAGGCGGUUUUGUAAGACAGAUGUGAAAUCCCCGGGCUUAACCUGGGAACUGCGUUUGUGACUGCAAGACUCGAGUACGGCAGAGGGGGGUGGAAUUCCACGUGUAGCAGUGAAAUGCGUAGAGAUGUGGAGGAACACCGAUGGCGAAGGCAGCCCCCUGGGUCGAUACUGACGCUCAUGCACGAAAGCGUGGGGAGCAAACAGGAUUAGAUACCCUGGUAGUCCACGCCCUAGACGAUGCCAACUAGGUGUUGGGGAACGGAGACUUCCUUAGUACCGUAGCUAACGCGUGAAGUUGGCCGCCUGGGGAAUCGGUCGCAAGAUUAAAACGCAAAGGAAUUGACGGCUGAGACGNGCGAGACGACGACGAGGGAGAGG
rnacentral:rRNA from 1 species